CCUACGGGAGGCAGCAGUGAGGAAUAUUGGUCAAUGGUCGUAAGCCUGAACCAGCCAAGCCGCGUGAGGGAUGAAGGUACAAUGGAUCGUAAACCUCUUUUAUAAGGGAACAAAGUGUGGGACGCGUCCCCUUCUGUAUGUACCUUAUGAAUAAGCAUCGGCUAACUCCGUGCCAGCAGCCGCGGUAAUACGGCGGAUGCGAGCGUUAUCCGGAUUUAUUGGGUUUAAAGGGUGCGCAGGCGGUCUUUUAAGUCAGCGGUGAAAGUCUGUGGCUCAACCAUAGCACUGCCGUUGAGACUGGCAGGCUUGAGUUUGUUUGAGGCAGGCGGAAUGCGUGGUGUAGCGGUGAAAUGCAUAGAUAUCGCGCAGAACCCCGAUUGCGAAGGCAGCCUGCCGGGCCAAGACUGACGCUGAUGCACGAAAGCGUGGGGAUCGAACAGGAUUAGAUACCCUGGUAGUC
rnacentral:rRNA from 1 species